GAGCCUGCUUCCUCCUCUCCCUCUGCCUGCCUCUCUGCCUACUGUGAUCUCUCUCUGUCAAAUAAAUAAAUAAAAAUCUUUAAAAAAAAAAAAAAAAAAAGAGACACAGACGUCUCCUGUCUCCCACCUUGAAGAACUUACAAAUUAAGGUAGGCAGACAUAAGCAAAUGUAGCAACCUCCCCACUCGAGGUCCCCUUGAACUUCCUGCGCCACCCCAGUCUGGGCCAGGGACAAUCUGUGGACCCAGCAGAUAAAUGACGGUAGCUGAAGCCACCGCCUUGUCUUCCUUUUCUUCCGAGAUCAGGGCUCCCACCCCGCGCUCUCUACUGUCCCUGGUGGCGGAAACCGUUUUACCCCCAGCCCCACAGUGGCGCAGAGGAUGCGACCGCCUCCCAGCGGCUGUUGCUUGGACUACACUUCCCAUGAACGGUUUCUCAACAUCGCGAGAGCCCUCGCGAGAUGUCUGAAAAGACCUUUACGCAGGCGCGGCUCCGCCUUCUUCUCUGAGGCAGGCCGCGUGGCCGGGAGACAUGGCGGCUUCUCUCUGGAAAGAACGGGACGAGCAGUCUCGGGCCUUUGGCUGGGGCUUUUCUUGGGCGUCUGCGGAGACCGUGAGCGCCAGACCUGCAGGCUGAAGCUUAAAAGUACCAGAUGGAUCCCUGACGUGGGUACAGUCCCAGCCUUGGUUUCCAAGGCUGGAAAGGAUCCUGCGGAGGCAGAUGGUGGCCGAGUCCACUUCCCUGGGCCCGAAGCGGAGACUUGUAUGUUCUCUCCUCCGAGACGCCAGAUGGAGCCGCGCUGCGUCUGUGCGAACUGUUCAUGCCCAUAAACCGAGGCCCCAGAGGGAGAACAGUUGGAAGGAGUCUUUGGAUUUUCUCUUCAAAAAGGAACCAAAUAAUUUGACAGUUUACCCCAAAAAAUACCUGGCGGUUAGUCAAAUCAGGGCAUAACUAGGAACAUGGAGCUGAUCUGGGUGUGAGCGGCGCACUGGCAGGAAGGCGGUGAUUGUGAACAGAGAAUGACGUGUAUGUGCUGUGUUUUGGGGAGUGUGAGGGGAAGCAGGUGUUUGGCCUAGAAAGAGGUUUCUCAGAGCAGAUUUCUUGUGAAGUUAACGUAUCUUGGGCUUAGGAUUUGAAGUAUAAAUAAAAGUUUUUUAAAAAUGUGAUUCAUUUUGAGAACCUCAUAAAGGGAUUUUAUUCUGUGACUCAGCAAACGCAUUCUUAAAUGAAGGUUUCACCGAGUACUGUUUUUUUUUAAGAGGGGCAGAGGGAGGGAAAGUCACAAGCGGACUCCACGCUCAUUGGGGGGCUCUAGGCUCAGCGGGAGUCUAGUUUCUCUCCCUAAGAGUGGGACACUUAACCGACUGAGCCACCAGGGUCCCCCAACUUCCACAGGAUGCAAUCAGAUGUUUUACAGGUUUCCCACUAAAUUGAUUUUCUGCUUCUCUUAAUGGGUUACCACCCACCAGUGUAACUUUAGCAUUUCUCAAAUCUAAUGGAUUGACGAAGAUUCUGAUCGCUACAGAUGUGAGCGGAACAGGGACAAGUGAAAUGUCCUGGAUACAAGGAGUUCAGUCCUGACUUGGGCGACGCUGGCUAUCCUGACUUAGGGCAACUGGAUUUCUUCACUAGCAACUGAUAGUAAGGGUCACUGUCAGAUGGCGGAACGGACUGACCAUACCGUGUUUCCCACAUUUGACAUUUUCUUCUGGACCAGUGAUUCUAUCCAGAGAAACAUACUUAGGACACUGCUGUCCUUGAGACUAAGGGACAUUUCCAUGUUGCCAAGCUUAAGAGAGGCCGUGGCCUCCCGCUUGCUACUCCCCUCUCGUCUAAGCUGCUUCAAGUAGGAAGCAGUUUCAAGUAGCUGCCUCGGUCGUGAAAGUCCAGACCUUGGAUCACAUACUUGAAUUUCUAAUGUAGAAUUUUGAUUUUGCUGACAGUUACCCUCUUGGUAAGACGCUGAUAGGAUCUACCUUCCAAAACCACAGAGCCAGAGGACUGGUCCCAGGCCUUGGUGAAUUAGCCAGUGGUGAUCAGUGCCACCUUGGGAAGGUUCUUGAUGUAGCCAGUGUAGCGGGUCAGACUGGAGCUACUAGUCACAGGGCCAGUAAAUCCCAGGGCUUAAGGGCUAUGUGCAGGUGACUUGGUUAGUUGAGACUUAACCCUUCCAAAUGAAGCCCCUGUGCUCUAAAACUGCCUGGAUUUACUGAAGCCGCGAUGUGAGGUGGGGAGUUCUUCACCUGAUCUUGCACUUCAGUGGCCAGUGGUAAUGGAUACAGUGGGACUUCCACAGGUGGGCAGCCCUCUUGUGCACUCGACCCCUGUCAAAUUACCAGGACUGGCCCAUGGUUCUUGAAUUUUCUGAGUGAUCUGCCUGCUAAACACUGGUGUGCCACCCUGUCCCUGUCCCCAACACACAGAAAAGACGCAAGGGUCAUCCUGUCAUUUAUGCAAGUACCUAGUUCAAGUUACAUUCUGCCUUUUGCGCUCCCACUUCAUCAUGGGGCAGAAGGAAAGUGGUCAUGUCCUCGGGUGGUGUAGGCAUGUCUUAGAGUCUGACGUCGUGGAGUUGCUGGGAGGCUGGACAUGGUCGUGGGAGGGUCUGGCUGGCGA
rnacentral:lncRNA from 1 species